ACCCUUCAUCUAAACUGAGCAAGAAUAUUUAAAUUCAAUUAUUGGUUCAGUAUUCAGCUUGGUAGUCUUGAGAGUCAAAAUCUAAAUCAACUACAAAGGAGUAAAUAGUAUGUGUUUUACAUGCAAUAGUAACAUUGAAUCGGAUGACCAAUAUCUUUGCGAAGCGUCUGAUGAAAAAAAUAUCAAAUCUUCAGUAAAGCAAAAAUGAAAUGAAAUCUAGAGAAGGAAAGCUAAACAAACAAAUUAUCUAAUUUCAAGAACUUAUUACAAUGUGCCGGGCGUCUACCCAGUGGUUUACAUAAUCGACUCUAAGAUUUGAAGUAAACACAUACCAAAGUUAUACGUGGAUCUGUCCCUUCUCCACGGUAAGGAUUUCUCAAC